GCUUCCGUUGUCUAGUGGUUAUGAUGUCUGUAUCACACACAGGAGGUCGGGCGUUCGAUCCGCCCCGGAAGCA